CCUACGGGAGGCAGCAGUGGGGAAUUUUGGACAAUGGGCGCAAGCCUGAUCCAGCAAUGCCGCGUGAGUGAAGAAGGCCUUCGGGUUGUAAAGCUCUUUUGUCAGGGAAGAAACGGUGAAGGCUAAUAUCCUUUGCUAAUGACGGUACCUGAAGAAUAAGCACCGGCUAACUACGUGCCAGCAGCCGCGGUAAUACGUAGGGUGCAAGCGUUAAUCGGAAUUACUGGGCGUAAAGCGUGCGCAGGCGGUUUUGUAAGUUUGUCGUGAAAUCCCCGGGCUCAACCUGGGAAUGGCGAUGAAGACUGCAAGGCUAGAAUCUGGCAGAGGGGGGUAGAAUUCCACGUGUAGCAGUGAAAUGCGUAGAGAUGUGGAGGAACACCGAUGGCGAAGGCAGCCCCCUGGGUCAAGAUUGACGCUCAUGCACGAAAGCGUGGGGAGCAAACAGGAUUAGAUACCCUGGUAGUCCACGCCCUAAACGAUGUCUACUAGUUGUCGGGUUUUAAUUAACUUGGUAACGCAGCUAACGCGUGAAGUAGACCGCCUGGGGGAGGUACGGUCGGCGAGAAGUUAAACUAACUUAAAGGAAAGUAGUUAGGACGUGAGACGNGCCGACGGACGACGACGAGGGGAGGAGGAG
rnacentral:rRNA from 1 species